AAUAUAUUUUUGAGCCUUAUUUCCUGUUGUUUUCGCAAUUUUAUCAGCUAACCUAGGGUUAUCGUUUAGAAGAUAUAUUGAAGCAAGAUUUUCAAUGCAGUCAAAUCUUACUCGAACCACUGACUUGGACAGAAGGCUGGACUUUAAAUCAUCAAUAAUGAAGUUUACCCUUUGCCUGCUCGCGGUACUGAGUGUGACGACUCUGGUAAACGCCGGCCCUUUGUUUACAAGUGAUCCUGUAGAUGGCGACGGUUUCGUCUACUGCCAGAAAACAUACAAAAACGUUUUCUUAUUACUAUGUCCAGAAAUGGCACGAGACAUAGAUGUAGGAUUCAAGGUCUACGAGUUUGCCAAAAUCUGCUGUUCCCGAAUAUGUAACAUUGAUGACGUAUUGCGCCACUGUGUAGUAUCGGCCUAAAUUGAAAAAUGAAUUAUAAAAGUAAAAGCGUUGUAUAUUCCUUUGUACAGCCUACCACUCUCAAUCAAAAAUCGUAGUUGCUUUUAUAUCUUAGUAAAUAUUUAAUGUUUUGUUAAAAUAAAAAAAUACCUAUCCAAUACUUUGACCCAAUAAUUAAAAUUAUUGUUUUUUACCCUGACAUCACGCCUACUGCACAACGAACGUAGCUGUGGAGCCCUUCAUAUAACUUCGAUUCAAAUUGUGAUGGAUUGGAUGAAUGACUAAGUAAUUAAUUGUCAAUAAACAAACUGUUUGCUUGAAAAUUCGUACACAUCCUACGUUGUUUAGAAAAUACAGUAGUCACGAAAAUGAUGCUCAUUUGUCAGUUAUAUUCUCUACUAUGAACACAUAUUUGCCGGUUAGGAAGAUCAUAAAAGUUGUAUCCACGCAUAGAACUCCCAAAAGAGAGCGACUGUCUUCGCUCCAUGAGUGCUUAGAAGCCAACGAGAGUCGCAGAAGGCGCGGCAGAUGGCGCUGGGCUCUCAUACUCUUCGUCUGCUUAACCCUGGUCUGCCUGCUUUCCCACAGGAGCCAGUCACCCUCUAUGAACGGACAAAUUGUCGUCAAUAAGAUAUACUACGAUGUUCCCGUUACUUUCACCAAGAAAUAUGAGACUGCGGUGUCACACAGUACUAAAAAGCCUGAAACAAUUGAAACUGUUGAAGAUGACGAUUUUGUCGAUACAGAAAUGGACGUCCGUACGAAGGCUCCCGGUUUGCCGUUCUGUGUCCGGAAGAAACCUUAUCCGAAAAUUCCGUUAAACCUGACGUGUAUAAACAUCACUGCUGAGGAUAUUUACCCGAAGCUGAAGAAAGGAGGCGUGUACAAGCCCCUAGUGUCAGCCAAGGAUGAAGAUCGGCAUCAUCGUGCCUUACAGGAAUCGUCUACAUAACCUUGGUAUAUUUUUGAACAACAUACAUCCAUUUCUGAUGGCGCAGAAACUUGAAUAUCAGAUAUUUGUCAUUGAACAGUAUGGCACCGAACUAUUUAACAAGGGCCGCGUGUACAACGCCGGCUUUCAGGAGAUGAUGAAGUUCAACACUUUCAACUGCGUUAUAUUUCACGAUUUGGAUCUGUUACCAAUGGAUGAGAACAUCUUGUAC